CCUACGGGUGGCAGCAGUGAGGAAUAUUGGUCAAUGGACGAGAGUCUGAACCAGCCAAGUAGCGUGAAGGAUGACUGCCCUAUGGGUUGUAAACUUCUUUUAUAUGGGAAUAAAAUGUUCCACGUGUGGGAUUUUGUAUGUACCAUAUGAAUAAGGAUCGGCUAACUCCGUGCCAGCAGCCGCGGUAAUACGGAGGAUCCGAGCGUUAUCCGGAUUUAUUGGGUUUAAAGGGAGCGUAGGUGGAUUGUUAAGUCAGUUGUGAAAGUUUGCGGCUCAACCGUAUAAUUGCAGUUGAAACUGGCAGUCUUGAGUACAGUAGAGGUGGGCGGAAUUCGUGGUGUAGCGGUGAAAUGCUUAGAUAUCACGAAGAACUCCGAUUGCGAAGGCAGUUCACUGGACUGCAACUGACACUGAGGCUCGAAAGUGUGGGUAUCAAACAGGAUUAGAUACCCUAGUAGUC
rnacentral:rRNA from 1 species